rnacentral:rRNA from 1 species
AGAGUUUGAUCCUGGCUCAGGAUGAACGCUGGCGGUGUGCCUAAGGUAUGCAAGUCGAACGGUAAGGCCCCUUCGGGGGUACACGAGUGGCAGACGGCUGAGUAACACGUAGGAAUCUACCCUAAACUCAAGGAUAGCUCAUCGAAAGGUGUGGUAAUACUUGAUAGUCUCUUCGGAGUAAAGCUUUUGCGGUUUAGGAUGAGCCUGCGUCCUAUCAGGUUGUUGGAGAGGUAAAAGCUCACCAAGCCUAUGACGGGUAACUGGUCUGAGAGGAUGAUCAGUCAGAAUGGGACUGCGACACGGCCCAUACUCCUACGGGAGGCAGCAAUUAGGAAUCUUGCGCAAUGGACGAAAGUCUGACGCAGCGACACCGCGUGGAGGAUGAAGGUUUUCGGAUUGUAAACUCCUUUUAUUAGGGAACAAGUUCUGAGUGUACCUAAUGAAUAAGCACCCCCUAACUACGUGCCAGAAGGGUCGGUGAUGCGUAGGGUGCAAGCGUUAUCCGGAAUUACUGGGCGUAAAGAGAUGCGUAGGCGUCUUCUUAAGUCUUUCGUUAAAUCUUGUGGCUCAACCAUAUAGUUGCGAAGGAAACUGGGAAGAUUGAGGAAGUCAGGGGCAAGUAGAAUUCCUAGUGGAGCGGUGGAAUGCGUUGAUAUUAGGAGGAAUACCAAUGGCGAAGGCAGCUUGCUGGGACUUUCCUGACGCUAAGGCUCGAAAGCGUGGGUAGCAAAACGGAUUAGAUACCCGUGUAGUCCACGCCGUAAACGAUCCCUGCUAGAUGUCUGGUUAGAAAGACGUUUUAACUUCGGUUGAAGCUUAUUUUUAAGUGGGUGUCGCAGCUAACGCGUUAAGCAGGGCGCCUGGGGAGUACGGCCGCAAGGCUAAAACUCAAAGGAAUUGACGGGGACUCGCACAAGUAGUGGAGCGUUUGGUUUAAUUCGAUGCAAAGCGAAGAACCUUACCAGGGCUUGAACUGUAACUGUGGGUACUCAGAAACGAGUACUGUCUUUGAGAGCGUUACAGAGGUGCUGCAUGGCCGUCGUCAGCUCGUGUCGUGAGAUGUUGGGUUAAGUCCCGCAACGAGCGCAACCCCUACCCGGUGUUAUAAUUUCUCCGGGGACUGCCUUGCCAAAACGAGGAGGAAGGUGGGGACGACGUCUGGUCAUCAUAGCCCUUAUGUCCUGGGCUACACAAGCGCUACAAUGGUUGAGACAAUGGGUUGCCAAACCGCAAGGUGGAGCUAAUCCCCUAAACUCAGCCUCAGUUCGGAUUGCAGGCUGAAAUUUGCCUGCAUGAAGUUGGAAUUACUAGUAAUCGUGGAUCAGCAUGCCGCGGUGAAUACGUUCUCGAGUCUUGUACACACCGCCUGUCAAGUCACGGAAGUCGGUCUUACCCGAAGGCUUUUCAUUAGAAAGGACGAAGGUAUGGUUGGCGACCAGGGCUAAGUCGUAACAAGGUA